rnacentral:lncRNA from 1 species
GCUGCCGCAGUGCCGGGUCCUGAGGCGGGUUUAGAGCCCGGAGCCCCUUUUCUCCGCUGCCUCAACGCGCCCCGCCGGGCCGCAGAGGGGUGCCGGCCGGUGAAAGCCGAUGAAACGCCUCGGGGAGCUCCGUCUGCCUCUGGAUCAGCCCCGCGGAGCAUGUCCAAGAGCUGCCUACAGGGGAAGCUUCACUCCACUGUGCAAUCAUCACAGCUUUGAUUUGGUCCACGUACACAUGAUGCCUCACACUUUUCACAGUUGUUAUCUCCCUGUAUGAAGAUCAUGGGAUAAGUUUCUCUAAUUUAUCAGUACAGAAAUAUUUUCAUCUCACCUGUGUGCAUAGUGAAAAUCAUGUGCUGGAAACAGACACAAGUGUGAAUGCUUUGUAAUAUGGCUGGGUUGGUCUUCAGCGUUUGGCUGUUGUGUUCUGCUGUGUCAAGGAGUAUGAUAAUACAUCCCUAAACAUUGGAACAUGGACAAAGACAGUGAACAAAAUGGCAGGAAAUAAGGAAAUUCCCUAGGAAGCACAAACAGUGGUGCUGUGAGCACUUGCAAAGUCAAUAUAUGUGAAACCUCAUGUUUAAGACAGAAAAGGUUCUUUGAAGGGUGAACAACUUUGGGAUCUAUAUUCAAUUGGAAGGUGCAAAAGAGAAGGAAUUGAGUCCUAUAAAUCAGCAGUUGCUGGGCAGUUGUCCUGACUGCCUUCCACUGGUGUAAAUUGCCAGAAGGAGCUGAGGAGCCUGCAGUGAUUUACAGGUCAUUGUUCACAGGCUCAGGAUACACGACCUCUGCAAACUGACAAAGCAAAGUGAAUAGACAACGUGAUGGCAGGAGAAAUUUAGUAUUGACAAAUGUGGUGAAGCACUUGGAAAAGCACCAUUGGGACCACCUGAAUUAACUGUAACCGCUCAGGAAGAGGACCCAGCUGACCCCCUUUGGAGGACAAUAGAACACCCAGUGGUAGGGAGAGAGGCAAGCAAAAACACUGUAUGGAAGGGGAAAAAUGUACUGUGGUUCCUUUAAUAAAGCUGUUCCAUAAUCACU